CGAGACCUUCGGGUCUAGUGGCGCACGGGUGCGUAACGCGUGGGAAUCUGCCCUUAGGUACGGAAUAACUCAGAGAAAUUUGUGCUAAUACCGUAUGUGCCCUUCGGGGGAAAGAUUUAUCGCCAAAGGAUUGGCCCGCGUUGGAUUAGGUAGUUGGCGGGGUAAUGGCCCACCAAGGCAACGACGGGUAGCCGGCCUGAGAGGGCGACCGGCCACACUGGGACUGAGACACGGCCCAGACUCC
rnacentral:rRNA from 1 species